GACGAACGCUGGCGGCGUGCCUAAUACAUGCAAGUCGAACGCAGUGGGGACGGGUGAGUAACACGUGGGUAACCUCCCAUCAGAGGGGAUAACACUUGGAAACAGGUGCUAAACCGAUACUGAUGGAUGGACCCGCGGUGCAUUAGCUAGUUGGUGGGGUAACGGCUAACCAAGGCCACGAUGCAGAGCCGACCUGAGAGGGUGAGCGGCCACACUGGAACUGAGACACGGCCCAGACUCCUACGGGAGGCAGCAGUGGGGAAUCUUCGGCAAUGGACGAAAGUCUGACCGAGCAACGCCGCGUGUGUGAAGAAGGUUUUCGGAUCGUAAAGCACUGUUGGUAGAGAAGCGGUAUCUAACCAGAAAGCAACGGCUAACUACGUGCCAGCCGCCGCGGUAAUUC
rnacentral:rRNA from 1 species